rnacentral:rRNA from 1 species
UGAGUAACACGUGGGCAAUCUGCCCUGCACUUCGGGAUAAGCCUGGGAAACUGGGUCUAAUACCGGAUAGGACCUUUAGACGCAUGUCUUUUGGUGGAAAGCUUUUGCGGUGUGGGAUGGGCCCGCGGCCUAUCAGCUUGUUGGUGGGGUGAUGGCCUACCAAGGCGACGACGGGUAGCCGGCCUGAGAGGGUGUCCGGCCACACUGGGACUGAGAUACGGCCCAGACUCCUACGGGAGGCAGCAGUGGGGAAUAUUGCACAAUGGGCGCAAGCCUGAUGCAGCGACGCCGCGUGGGGGAUGACGGCCUUCGGGUUGUAAACCUCUUUCACCAUCGACGAAGGUUCGGGUUUUCUCGGAUUGACGGUAGGUGGAGAAGAAGCACCGGCCAACUACGUGCCAGCAGCCGCGGUAAUACGUAGGGUGCGAGCGUUGUCCGGAAUUACUGGGCGUAAAGAGCUCGUAGGUGGUUUGUCGCGUUGUUCGUGAAAUCUCACGGCUUAACUGUGAGCGUGCGGGCGAUACGGGCAGACUAGAGUACUGCAGGGGAGACUGGAAUUCCUGGUGUAGCGGUGGAAUGCGCAGAUAUCAGGAGGAACACCGGUGGCGAAGGCGGGUCUCUGGGCAGUAACUGACGCUGAGGAGCGAAAGCGUGGGGAGCGAACAGGAUUAGAUACCCUGGUAGUCCACGCCGUAAACGGUGGGUACUAGGUGUGGGGUUUCCUUCCUUGGGAUCCGUGCCGUAGCUAACGCAUUAAGUACCCCGCCUGGGGGAGUACGGGCCGCAAGGCUAAAACUCAAAGGAAUUUGACGGGGGGCCCGCACAA